rnacentral:rRNA from 1 species
UUUUUAUGGACUGGCGGCGGCCUACACAUGCAAGUCUAGCGGAUGAAGAGAGCUUGCUCUCUGAUUCAGCGGCGGACGGGUGAGUAAUGCCUAGGAAUCUACCUGGUAGUGGGGGACAACGUCUCGAAAGGGACGCUAAUACCGCAUACGUCCUACGGGAGAAAGCAGGGGACCUUCGGGCCUUGCGCUAUCAGAUGAGCCUAGGUCGGAUUAGCUAGUUGGUGAGGUAAUGGCUCACCAAGGCGACGAUCCGUAACUGGUCUGAGAGGAUGAUCAGUCACACUGGAACUGAGACACGGUCCAGACUCCUACGGGAGGCAGCAGUGGGGAAUAUUGGACAAUGGGCGAAAGCCUGAUCCAGCCAUGCCGCGUGUGUGAAGAAGGUCUUCGGAUUGUAAAGCACUUUAAGUUGGGAGGAAGGGCAGUAAGCGAAUACCUUGCUGUUUUGACGUUACCGACAGAAUAAGCACCGGCUAACUCUGUGCCAGCAGCCGCGGUAAU